rnacentral:rRNA from 1 species
UACGUAGGGGGCAAGCGUUGUCCGGAAUCAUUGGGCGUAAAGCGCGUGUAGGCGGCCUUGUAAGUCCGUUCUGAAAGCCCGGGGCUCAACCCCGGGAGGCGGAUGGAUACUGCAAGGCUCGAGUACGGAAGAGGCGAGUGGAAUUCCCGGUGUAGCGGUGAAAUGCGCAGAGUAUCAAGGAGGAACACCGGUGGCGAAGGCGGGUCUCUGGGUCCGAUGACUGACGCCGAGGAGCGAAAGCGUGGGGAGCGAACAGG